GGUGGGGGUUCCUGAGCGGCCAAAGGGAGCAGACUGUAAAUCUGCCGUCAUCGACUUCCUCGAAGGUUCUGAAUCCGCCCCCACCACCA
rnacentral:tRNA from 1 species